CCCCGCCCCAGGGCGGUGCGACUCCGCGGGCGAGCGAGGGGCGGGGCUCGUAGCGGGGAACUCCCCUUCCCAGGCCCAGGCAAGUCCGUGCGUCUGCGAGGCGCGGUGGUCGGGUAGUGGACCCUGGUCCUGUGGCCCCGGUUACUGACCGCGUCGUGCGGCCGCCAUCUUGCCGGCGUGUGGACCACCCCCGUCGGGAGGGGCUGCGACUAGGCCGGAAGCGGGAGUACGAGGCAGCGCUGCCUGCCAGGUCGUGCUGUUAUAGAUGUUCUGGUGAGGAACACAGAAUCAUCAUCAUGGCUUUCCUUUGCUCAGAAACCAUUGAUGGGAAGUGAGUGCUUGUUAUACUUGAAGCAGAUUUUCAUUGAAUGGACCUAACUGCGCUCUUUGAGAUCAUCAGUAAGCAUGAGUGGUACCAAACCUGAUAUAUUGUGGGCACCACACCAGGUUGAUAGAUUUGUUGUAUGUGACUCAGAACUUAGCCUUUAUCACGUGGAAUCUACUGUGAAUUCAGAAUUCAAAGCUGGAUCUCUACGUUUAUCUGAAGACUCUGCAGCUACGUUACUCUCAAUAAAUUCAGAAACACCCUAUAUGAAAUGUGUUGCCUGGUAUCUCAAUUAUGAUCCUGAAUGUCUCCUAGCAGUUGGACAAGCAAAUGGUAGAGUUGUACUUACAAGUCUUGGUCAAGAUCAUAACUCAAAGUUCAAAGAUUUGAUAGGAAAAGAGUUUGUUCCAAAACAUGCACGACAAUGCAAUACUCUUGCAUGGAAUCCAUUGGAUAGUAACUGGCUUGCUGCUGGUCUAGAUAAACAUAGAGCUGACUUUUCAGUGCUGAUUUGGGACAUCUGCAGCAAAUACACGCCUGAUAUAGUUCCCAUGGAGAAAGUAAGACUUUCGGCAGGUGAAACUGAAACAACAUUGUUAGUAACAAAACCACUUUAUGAAUUAGGACAGAAUGAUGCUUGUCUCUCUCUUUGUUGGCUUCCACGAGACCAGAAACUUCUCCUUGCUGGUAUGCAUCGUAACCUAGCCAUUUUUGAUCUUCGGAAUACAAGCCAAAAGAUGUUUGUGAAUACAAAAGCUGUUCAGGGCGUGACAGUAGACCCAUACUUCCAUGAUCGUGUUGCUUCCUUUUAUGAAGGUCAGGUUGCAAUAUGGGAUCUUAGGAAAUUUGAGAAGCCAGUUUUGACUUUGACUGAGCAACCAAAGCCCUUAACAAAAGUAGCAUGGUGUCCAACUAGGACUGGUCUGCUUGCCACUUUAACAAGGGAUAGUAAUAUUAUUAGAUUAUAUGAUAUGCAGCACACACCCACUCCCAUUGGAGAUGAAACUGAACCCACAAUAAUUGAAAGAAGUGUGCAACCUUGUGACAAUUACAUUGCCUCCUUUGCUUGGCAUCCAACAAGUCAAAAUCGAAUGAUAGUUGUAACUCCCAAUCGAACAAUGUCUGACUUCACUGUUUUUGAAAGAAUCUCUCUUGCCUGGAGCCCAAUUACAUCUUUAAUGUGGGCUUGUGGUCGUCAUUUAUAUGAAUGUGCGGAAGAAGAAAAUGAUAAUUCUUUAGAAAAAGAUAUAGCAACGAAGAUGCGCCUUCGGGCUUUAUCAAGGUACGGACUUGAUACAGAACAGGUGUGGAGAAACCAUAUUUUAGCGGGAAAUGAAGAUCCACAGCUCAAGUCACUCUGGUAUACUCUGCACUUUAUGAAGCAGUAUACAGAAGAUAUGGAUCAGAAAUCUCCAGGCAACAAAGGAUCAUUGGUUUAUUCAGGAAUUAAAUCAAUUGUAAAAUCAUCUUUGGGAAUGGUAGAAAGCAGCAGACAUAAUUGGAGUGGGUUGGAUAAGCAAACUGAUAUUCAGAAUUUAAAUGAAGAGAGAAUCUUAGCUUUACAGCUUUGUGGGUGGAUAAAGAAAGGAACGGAUGUCGACGUGGGGCCAUUUUUGAACUCCCUUGUACAAGAAGGGGAAUGGGAGAGAGCUGCCGCUGUGGCAUUGUUCAACUUGGAUAUUCGACGAGCAAUCCAGAUCCUGAAUGAAGGGGCAUCUUCAGAAAAAGGUGAUCUGAAUCUUAAUGUGGUAGCAAUGGCUUUAUCGGGUUAUACAGAUGAGAAGAACUCACUUUGGAGAGAAAUGUGCAGCACUUUACGAUUACAGUUAAACAACCCGUAUCUGUGUGUCAUGUUUGCAUUUCUGACAAGUGAAACAGGAUCUUAUGAUGGAGUAUUGUAUGAAAACAAAGUUGCGGUACGUGACAGAGUGGCAUUUGCUUGUAAAUUUCUUAGUGAUAGUCAGUUAAAUAGGUACAUCGAAAAGUUGACCAAUGAAAUGAAAGAGGCUGGAAAUUUGGAAGGAAUACUGCUUACAGGCCUUACUAAAGAUGGAGUGGACUUAAUGGAGAGUUAUGUUGACCGAACUGGAGAUGUACAAACAGCAAGUUACUGCAUGUUACAGGGCUCUCCCUUAGAUGUUCUUAAAGAUGAAAGAGUUCAGUACUGGAUUGAGAAUUAUAGAAAUUUAUUAGAUGCCUGGAGGUUUUGGCACAAACGAGCUGAAUUUGAUAUUCACAGGAGUAAGUUGGAUCCCAGUUCUAAGCCUUUAGCACAGGUGUUUGUGAGUUGCAAUUUUUGUGGAAAGUCUAUCUCCUACAGCUGCUCAACUGUGCCCCAUCAGGGCAGAGGUUUUAGUCAGUAUGGUGUCAGUGGCUCACCAACAAAAUCUAAAGUCACAAGUUGCCCUGGCUGUCGAAAACCCCUUCCUCGAUGUGCACUUUGCCUCAUCAAUAUGGGAACACCUGUUUCUAGUUGUCCUGGAGGCUCCAAAUCAGAUGAAAAAGUAGACUUGAGCAAAGACAAAAAAUUAGCUCAGUUUAACAACUGGUUUACAUGGUGUCACAAUUGCAGACACGGUGGGCAUGCUGGACACAUGCUUAGUUGGUUCAGGGAUCAUGCCGAGUGUCCUGUGUCUGCAUGCACGUGUAAAUGUAUGCAGUUGGAUACAACAGGGAAUCUGGUACCUGCAGAGACUGUCCAGCCAUAAAAUGUUAUCCCCUAAAGAGGAACCUUCAAGUGUGGAGCUUUCUGAUAGAUGUCCUUCAUAGCUCAGAAACAUACCUCAGAACAAGUCACUCAUGACUUUCCUGUAAUGGGAAAAUAAAUCAUUCUAUCAAAUCACCAAUUUGAUGUUUGAGUGAUUUUGAUGUACUUCACAGAGACAAAUGCUGCUGAAAUGAACAGAGUGUGGGCAUGAAUUCUGUUCAGUAGGUUGGAAAAGUUCAUUUUGGAAAGAACUUUUUAGGGUUUUGUUGAAAUUAUGAACACUGUGCAAACAGAGUUUCUGGAGUGACCAAGAACAGACCUUGGAACCAUACUUUUUAUGUUGCAAUUGGUUAUCUUUCAGUAAAAUCUGUACACUUUUAAAAUAGAAUAAUAUGCCCAAUUCAGUGAUUCAGACCGUAGUUUAAGCUUACUCAUGCUUAGAUUCCUUCCAGAUUAAAUUUAAAUUGUGGAUUUUUACUUUUAGAAUUAGAAAGCCCCCUACCCUACACUGGAGAAUUAUUUAUCAAGGUAUGAUUGAUAUAUAUUUUUUUAAGGAGUCUCUUCUCUCAUACACUUUCAUUUUAAGAUAAGAAAUCUUUUGGCACAGACAUUUAUUGUCUUCCAAAGAAAAGUCAAAAUUAAGAAUGUAUCUUACAACUUUUUCUCUUCUGAGGAGAAAAAUAUGCACCAUUUCAAGGAAACGUAUAAAAUUUUCCUUUUCAAUCUUUUGCUUUCCAAUGUCCUUAUUUGUCUUCAAAGAUUUCUGUCCUUGUUAAUUUAUCAUCUUAUGCUCAUCAUCUGGAAGCAUUUGGCUGAAUACAAAGUGUAUACAAGUCUAUAUGUGACCAACCAUUCAGCAUAAUCUACGUCACUAUGUCCUACUGUCGGAUUUCCUCUUGCAGAAUAUCCUGUUUUUUCUAAGGUAGACUUUGAGAUGUUGGGGAAACCAGAGUCACUUUGGAGAUAAUUUCACCUUUAAUGUAAGUUUCUUAAAGUAAGUAUAUUUGGGCCAAUUUAGGGACUUUAUUUUCAAAUUUUAUUUUUUCCCUUUUCACAGCUAGAUAGUUGGAAGAGAAAUACAAAGGAUUUGUAGCAUCAUCUGACAUAUGCAGAGGACUGAACUGAAUUUCAUAGUUGAAGUUGUACUUAUAGAAAAAUAAAAAGCCUAAAAAUUAUCUUACAGAUUUUGAAGAAAGAAAUAUCUUAAACAAGAAUUUUAGAAGCUUUCACGUUAGCAGUUUUACCUGGUGAAACUAAGAUCUGUUAGAUUAAUUUGAGGUAUGACUUAAAUCCUGAACAAAGGUGGAUUAAAUUUAUUUUUUACUUUGAGAUCUAUUACAAAAGUCUCUUUUCUAGGAAAACAUUGCAUAUCUACUCUAAACAUCUCAUCUAGAUGACAAUCUUUUGUUUAAAAGAAAGAACUGGGAAUAGUUACAAUCUUUUUUUUUUUUUUUAAACAAAGAUUGUUAUUAAGGGGACUUUUUCCAGUCUUCUAAGUAAAUCUUACUGAUUUCAUUUUACUAAAACAUAACCUUUACCUUUAAAGUUGCUUCAGUUGAAGUGUUUCUUUCAAAUUUGCUCUGUCCAAAAUAUGAAAAGUCAGCUUUAGUGUCAAACUGUUAUAUACAUUUUCAUUUCUCCUUAGCUAAAGUAAGGUAAAUUUUUGAAUUGAUGUUUAGAAUAGGGUUAUAUCUAAAAUACUUACAAUUUUUGGAAGUACAAUAUAAGACAUAAGCAUAAAGUCUAUUAUAUAAUCUGCUUGUAAUCACAGGAUGACAUUUUUAAGAAUAACUUUAUGCCUGUGUCAGCCUUCUAAUAUUUUCUGUGAAACCCAAAUAUUCAUAUAAGAUGUCUAUUAUGCUUGUUUUGCAUUUUAUUGUAUGUGGAACAUGAAAAUAGACUAAUUUUUUCAUUUUUAUUACUUGGUCACUAAUAUUUGGGUUUAUAAACUCAACAAGAUAUUUUACCUAAACAUGUUCAAUAGAAGUGUUUAAUAAAAAUGUUUUAUUAUUUUUUUAAAUUGAAUAAAAAUGGAUUGAAGUCAACAUGUCUAAUCUAGAAAUUAUCUAUGACCACUCUGCAAAUAAUCCAAUAAAAUAAUAAAAUAGUAGUUAUUUUGAUGGCAAAUUUGAUUCUUAGUCUUAGAAGUAACUUUUUUGUAGACUCUGUUUUUCAGCUUUCCAGAAUGGUUAUUAUUCAUUAAAAUGGUAUAUUUAAAAAGUAUCUUUCCAUUGUCAGUGCUACACCCAGUAAGUAUUAGAGUGAGAAACAAAUAGUCCUGCAUUUAAUUGCAUGGCUGGAUGUAAUUUCAGUCACUUAUUUGACUGCAGAUAUUCAAAGUAUGGGUUUUGAAAUUUAAAUUAUAAUCCUAGUCCCAGUAUCUUGGCCAAUUGGCUUGACCUUUUUGAGCUUCAAUUUCCUAAUAUGUUAAAAGGUAUAGAAAUUCCUACCUCAUAGGGUGAUUGGGCGUGUUAGGUGAUGAAAUAAACAUGAAGUGUUAUAUCCGUCGCAUAAUGCUCUGUAAAAGGUAGUGCUUAACAGUCAUUGUUACCUAAUCUUUAUUGGUUACUCAUGUGUCAGCACUUUUUAAUUGAAUAUGGUAUAAUUUAAACAAAGUAUGCACAUUUGUCUCAGUAGUGAAAAUUUCCCAAAUCUGGAUAAAUUAUGGCAUUUUCUUUUGAGAUAGAACUUAGCUACUUUUGUUUAUCCUGUAUUUAGAAUAUUACUUUCUGCUGUAUGAAGAAGUCCUCUGAACAACCACCUAGGAUUUUAAUGUGAUACAAGAGUGAACCCAGGGAUGAAAAUUAAAAUUUUGGUAAAUCUGGACAGUUGACCAGUAACCAUUGAAAACUUGAACUUUUCAUAUCUAUAUUCAACUCUUAAGUCCUGGCCUUCAUAGGAGAAAAUAUCCAGUAUUUUCCCAGUAAAAUCCUUCCUUUUCUGCCAUUCUGUUACACUUGAUGUUCAUUUAAGUAAAAAUGUUGGGGGGAUGGUGAUAAUAAAAAAGGAAGUACACUGUGAGGUUUGUUCUCGUUCGGGAUAGCUGUAGUUAAGACAAGUGGGCACUAAGUAGUUGUACACGUCUAACAUCUGCUCAGAGGUGUCAGAGAGAGGGGAGAGGCAUUUUAGGUGUUAGUUCAACAUCCUUGUAUAGAGGGCCUGUGACCCCCAUGGCCAUGGCAGAGAUGGGGCUAGCUGGACAACUGCUCAUCUAGCCACUACUCUCCCAUUACAUCAUCUGCCUAUUCUUCCCUCCUCGAAAAUUUUGUAGGUUUCUUUACUGAUUAUAGAAAGCACUUUAUGAAAAUAUUAAUCUUUAUAAAGUAUUAAUUUUUUACUAGAGUAUAUAGACAGAAGGAAAGUUCCCGAAAUGUUUUUAAAAGAUAGCGUAAUCCAGGUAUCAGAUUAACAUAGAUUGCCAAAACAAAGAACUGAUUUCAUUUAGGAAUAUUCAUGAUAAAUUCAUAAGUAAAGUCAAUAUCUAAUCCAACAGUAUAUUACUGAGAACAGUAGUUACUGUUGAUGCUUAUUAUUUGCCAGGUACCAUGCACAUUAUCCUGUUUAAUCCUCACUGUAGCCCUGUGAGGCAGAUACACUAUUACUGCUCCCAUUCUAUACAUGCUGCAAUUAAGGCAUAGGGACAUUAGGUCACUUGUCCUAGGCUAUACAGCUAAUAAAUAGCAGAGCCAACUUAGACUCCAGUAGUCUGACUUCCCAAUCUGUACUUUUAAUUACUGUUUUAUACUUCCACAUCCUACUUUAUGGACUGUGUAUAGGAGAAUAAUUCACUAUGACAAUUGAGGGUUUAUUAUAUUUAGUAUUAAUACACCAAAAGAGAAAAAAACAUGUCAGUGGCUCUUUGGAUGUAAAAAGCAGUUGAUAAAAUCCAAAAAUUGAUUCCUGAUUUGUUCUUUAGAUUUAGUUUUUAUCAUGAAAAGGAAAUGUUUUUCCUUCAUUUUUUUCCCCUUCUAUUUUACUGUCUGUCUCAAACAGCCAGCAUCAACGCAGUGGGGAAAUAAUAGGAAUAAAACAAGGAUCAAGUGGUUACCAUUGGUUCUGCACGUAGCAGUGCAGAAGAGGAAAGUGGAGGGAGGCACACCCUUGCUUCUCUUCCAAGUCUUUAAAGUUUGGUAUGGCAAAAAUACCAUGAAGAGUUAAAAGGCAAGCAAACUGGUAAGCUACAACAUGCAUACAAAUUUAAUACCCUUAAUUCACAAAGAACGUUCUGAAACCCAUAAGGAAAAGACACAACCAAUGGAUAAUAUUGAUCAAGGACUUGUACAGCCAAAAUAAAAUGGCCAACAAACAUAAAUAAAUGUUAAAUUGGUAAUAAAGUAAUGCUGAUUAAAAUGACAGCAGGAUACUGUUCACUUGCCUGUGUAAAUUAAAAGGAAUAAUAUGUAUUUUCAUGGAUAUGGGAAAGGAACAUUCUCAAAUAACAACUUGUGAGAGUGUUAUUAGUACAAGUGUUCCUGAGGACAGUGAGUAAUAUGUAUCAAAAGCCUUAAAAAGCUUCAUACCCUUUGACAUAGUAUAUUGGAAAUAUUUUCUGAGGGAUUAAUUGGAUAAGUACACAAAGGUGUAUGUUUCUAUGAAAUGGUUAUCACAGUAUUUUUUAUAAUAACUUGGAAGCCUAAAUGUUCAAUAAUAAGAGUAAAGAAAUUGUCACAUACAUACAAUGGAAUACUAACUAUUCAAAUAGUAUGGGUAUUUUUAUUGACAAAGGACGAUUCAUGAUAUAUUUAUAAAUGGAGGGAAAGGCAAGUUAUAGGAUAGUAUAUAUAGAAUAUAUUUGUAUGGAACACUAUUGGAGAAUAUAAAAUUUUAACAGUGGCCAUUUUUCAAGAAUAGAAUUUUUUUUUAAUUUAUUUAUUUAUUUAUGGCUGUGUUGGGUCUUCGUUUCUGUGCGAGGGCUUUCUCUAGUUGCGGCAAGUGGGGGCCACUCUUAAUCGCGGUGCGCGGGCCUCUCACUAUCACGGCCUCUCUUGUUGCGGAGCACAGGCUCCAGACGCGCAGGCUCAGUAAUUGUGGCUCACGGGCCUAGUUGCUCCACGGCAUGUAGGAUCUUCCCAGACCAGGGCUCGAACCCGUGUCCCCUGCAUUGGCAGGCAGAUUCUCAACCACUGUGCCACCAGGGAAGCCCAAGAAUAGAAUUUUAAGUGGCAUUUUUCUUAUCUGCAUCUUCUAGUUUUUCUACAAUAAUGAUGAAUGUAUAAAUAAAUGAAUAUGCAUAUCACACACACGUUAGUGGCUUUUAUAAAAGUUACCCAUGACCUGUUAUCUUGUUCUUACCAUAAUGAACAAUCAAAUAAUUAUGAGGUGAAGAAACUUGCUAUAAGGUAUUAUGAAAAUUAUUACUGAGAUUUAAUUAUUUGGAAAGCAUUUUUCUAGAUUUCAUAUUCUACAGUAAUAUAUAAGAAUAAUAAACAGAUGUGGUUCUUUCUCUUAAUUGUCUCUUUUGUCAUAUUUGGAAACAGUGCAUUUUGUUCUCCAUUUAACACAUUGGGAAAUGGAUCUAUAAAAUAGUUCUGAUAUUCCUGAGGUAGUAUUACAUAAUUAAUGACUUUGUUUCAAUCUUCUCUUUCCUAGAUGUUCCUCAGGAUAUUUUCUGACUCCUCUGUUUUGGCUCUGCGCCUGUGGCAGGACACCUGUCCUCUGUGUUUAGAAUUUAGUUAAUUAUUGUCCAAUGCAGUGUAGAGUGCAUUUUACUCAACUCAUUUCCAAUAAUUUAACAAGCUACUUAUGUUUAAGUGAUGAAUUCUGAACAUGCCUGCAUGUCCAUGCUUCCAUCAAAGAACCAAGCAUUAGCGUGCCUACAUGCGCCAGACAUUUAAGGUUAUGAUUUCAAAGGAUUGAUGGCACCAUCUUUACCUUGGAGGAGCUGUAAUAUCUAAUGGAAGAGGUAGACAUGAGCAUUGUUUUCAGAUUCAAAUUCACUCAGAUUAAUAUUUAUAAUUGCUGGAAAGAGUAUCAUUAUAGCAUCUUGUCUCUUUCUGCAGCCAAAAAAAAAGUCAGUUUAUUUUAUUUAAUUUUCUAAUUUUGGACUUUCAAAAAUUAUUUUCUAAUUAGAAAUAAUUUGAGGAAGUAGAGGUUGCCCAUUACAUUUUUCAGACGUGUAAUUUUCUAACAACAUUGUAAAGCAACUGUACUCCAAUAAAAAUUAAUUAAAAAAAUGUAAUUUUCUUACUGAUCUACUGUUAAUAAUACAAUGUUUUGAAAGGCUUUGCUAAGAAGGUAACUUUAGGAUUAAAGGAUAAUUUAUGUAAUGUCAGAAAUAGCAGCAAUAAUAGUAAUUCAGUGCAUACAAUCCUUUCACCAUUCAGUUUAUGAAAAGCAUGUUGCCUUAAUUUCAUAACUGGAAAUUAAGAUAUAGGAAUCUAAUUAGUUGGGCUCUUAAAAUAUAAAGACGAGUAGUCUGGAAGAGCAUUUGAAGGGAUUAAUGUAUCAUAAACUUCAAACAGGCAUUUUCGUAAGAAAUCAUGCAAAUGAUUUGAUCUUACAUCUUUUAACUUAAAGAAUAUUAACUCCACUUAUAUGUAUACAUACGUAUGUACAUGGGGAGGGAGGGUGAGCCAGGGUGUGGGGGACGUGUAUGCAAGAAAGCCUGGAGUUUGAAAGAGCAAAUGUCAAAAUUCAUGUUUGUCCACAUUUUAUUAUAUUGCAGCCAUAUACUUUGCUGGUGACAGUUCAAGAAGUUGCCACUGCCAGACAUGUGCAUUCACCUACAGUACCCCAUCAGCAACUGAACACUUUCAUCUCUGGGGAUAAAUGAUUAAUGAGUUGUCUAUCAUUUCCACUACCUUUUGUACCAAGUUGGUAGAGGCUUCAGUUGAUCAUAUUGCAGCCAUCAGCAUCAUUACUGAAAUUGAUUCUGCCAUGGGAGGGUUAUGCUAGGACAAUAGAUUAGCAUUUAAAUAAACGAACUAAUUUAUGGCAUUAAAAAUUACAUAAAAUAAUCCCUCUGAGUCACUCUGUCGCACCUGGUAAGGUUGUUUUGUUUUGUUUUUGCUGAUUAGCUACCAUCAUAAAACCUUAGGUUGAGGAAAGAAGGAUGGAAGGCAUAGAAGUUGAGUUGUUCUUGUUUUGAGUACAACCCUCUAAGAUUUCCAAACUUCCCACUCUCUUUAUUAAUCACUGUCAUGUAUAUGAAAUACACUUAUGAAAUUACACAACUUGCAUGCAAUGAUGAACAGUAAACUUGCAAAAUCAUUGCCUUUAGAGAAAAAGUAAAGGGGUAAACACAUUUUUGAAAGGCCAGAAUUAGUCCAGAAAGGAAAGUAGUUGGAGGAUUGAGAUUGACAAAUGAUACUCAGAUACAGUGAAAUGAAACUUUUCUAAUUUUUCAGCAAGCAGAUGUGAGAAUGAGGAGAUAAGAACAUCACAAUUUAGAUGUCUUGGUGAUGUGGGCUGCAUUUCUAAAACAGAUGGUGGAGAAUGAGGGUCUGCAUAGGCCUAGAAAAAAGUGAUAGGUUGUAGUUUUGGUAAAGUGUUAUACUCAAGGAAAAUAACUGGAACUUAGAACUUCUAUUUUAGCAUCUCUUUCUGCUCCUGGGAUAACUGCCUGAGAGUUGUCAAUAUUACUGAACUUAAACUUCCCCUCAGUUACUUUUGUGUUCCAGCAUAUGACUCUUUUGUCCAUUCCUCUUAUAUUUUCCCAUUUUUUCCUGUCUGCUCUCUUCUGAAUUUCAUGAGACCAACUGUUUAAUCUACUUCUGAAUUAAGACAACUACCUGAAAUUAUAUUGGUCAAAGUGCAUGUGCAUUUUCUUCAGAGCUGAGACUGGUUGUACAGUGAAAUGGAGCCAUCAUAGGUUUUUCUCAAUCCAGCUGCUUCUGCCCUAUAUUGAUUAAGAUUCUUUCCAGAUUCUAGUAGUGAGGCUGUGGGUGAUGGCAUUGUUAGUUUUCAUCUUUUUUCUGGUAUGUGUAUAUUUUAAGAAGCUAGAAGAGGCGGCUUUGAGUACUGCUAAGUAGAGGACAUGUUUACCCAACAGUGAUAUAAAUAACUGAGACUUGUAUUCUGGAAAGUGGGCAGAAUAUGAUUUCAGUAAGAGGGAACAUUGUUGUGAUAUGGGAAAAACCAAACCAGACCAAACCAAACAAAACAUGGGAAUGCGAAUUCUACAAGUGGCCCAGUAACAAACUUCCUUUAUAUGUUAAAAUUCCCCAAUGACAAAUGACUCUUUUCAGUCACAGUGAGAUGAACAGGUUAGGCUAAGAUGUGCUCGAUCUGGAGAUGAGCGAGUGACUAUGCCCUUCUUUACCCUCGACACAAGUCGCUAAUCAAUUACGCUCUUUUUCUCAGAACCUUUUUCCGCAUUGUAUUGGAGGCAGCAACUACCAGCUAGUCAGCAUUCACCUGUUUGCCAUUUUUAGCCCUAAAAUUUGGUAUGCCCUGACCAUUUUUUACUAAAAUGCGUGGGGAUUAAAACUCUAACAAUUCAUGAUUUUAAGUAUUUCAUGAGUCAUUUUUGUCUGUAUACUGAGUCUGUCUAAGUAGAAAUUACCUAUUUCCAAGUUGUAAUAUAUGGUAUAUAUAAUUGUAGUAUAUUGUUACAAUUAUAUAUAUAAUACAUAAAUAUAAUACAUUGUAUAUAAAUAAUAUUGUAUAAAUGUUGUACAGUGUUUGUUAUACAAUAUUAUUUUGCGAUGUAUAUUGUAAUAUGUUGUAAUAUAUUCAAGCCUUAUUUGAAUAAAACUCUUAUUUGCA